rnacentral:rRNA from 1 species
AGUGAACGCUGGCGGUAGGCCUAACACAUGCAAGUCGAACGGCAGCACAGUAAGAGCUUGCUCUUACGGGUGGCGAGUGGCGGACGGGUGAGGAAUACAUCGGAAUCUACUUUUUCGUGGGGGAUAACGUAGGGAAACUUACGCUAAUACCGCAUACGACCUACGGGUGAUAGCAGGGGAUCUUCGGACCUUGCGCGAUUGAAUGAGCCGAUGUCGGAUUAGCUAGUUGGCGAGGUAAAGGCCCACCAAGGCGACGAUCCGUAGCUGGUCUGAGAGGAUGAUCAGCCACACUGGAACUGAGACACGGUCCAGACUCCUACGGGAGGCAGCAGUGGGGAAUAUUGGACAAUGGGCGCAAGCCUGAUCCAGCCAUACCGCGUGGGUGAAGAAGGCCUUCGGGUUGUAAAGCCCUUUUGUUGGGAAAGAAAAGCAGCAGGUUAAUACCCCGCUGUUCUGACGGUACCCAAAGAAUAAGCACCGGCUAACUUCGUG